UACGUAGGGUCCGAGCGUUGUCCGGAUUUAUUGGGCGUAAAGAGCUCGUAGGUGGCUCCGUAAGUCGGGUGUGAAAACCCCAGGCUCAACCUGGGGACGCCACUCGAUACUGCGGUAGCUUGAGUCUGGUAGGGGAUCACGGAAUUCCUGGUGUAGCGGUGAAAUGCGCAGAUAUCAGGAGGAACACCAGUGGCGAAGGCGGUGAUCUGGGCCAGUACUGACACUGAGGAGCGAAAGCGUGGGGAGCGAACAGG
rnacentral:ncRNA from 2 species